rnacentral:tRNA from 1 species
GCCGGUGUGGCUCAGUGGACAGAGCGUCAGCCUGCGGACUGAAGGAUCCAGGUUCGAUUCUGGUCAAGGGCA